GACAUUGUUAAGGACUGUAGAGAAUAAUUAUAAAAUUUUUAGGGUUAAUUUGUAUAGUUUUUGCAAAAUAUUAGUUUAAAGCUAUAUAGUUGAAUUGUGUAUUUAUAUGAGAAUUGUCUGGUUUGGUAGGCCCAAGAGGGGCAUUGUGUUAUUGUUGUAUUGUGGGCUUGUGGCCUUUGGAUUAAAAAGUGUUUGUUGAGUUGUUUUGCAGAUUGAAUAAAUUAUAGGUAUAGAAAAAACUCUGCCGAAUUUUCGUCAUAAAAUUUAGGGUGUCUUCAACUCUUUAGUUCCUUGUUUUGUUUCAUUAUUGAUAAAUAUAUGAAUAUAAUAGUCUAGGUGAACCAAGUCAACCUUCUUUUUUUUCUCAGCCGCCCCAGUGACUUUUGGAAAAUCUGUGAAUUGAUAUUGAUUUUAUUUGUAAUU
rnacentral:misc_RNA from 1 species